ensembl:lncRNA
CAGUAGAGGUUUUUUUGUGAGUGCUUCCGGAGAAUAACCUCAGACAACAGUGACAUCACUGUGGUUUCCUGUCGGCACGGCAACCGUCACCCUCGGAGGCAGAGACACGACAUGUGAGAGAUGUGAUGCUUUCUUCGCUUCACACCUCGUCCCAUCUCUCCGUCUCCGUCUCUCACCAGCUCGCUUUAGAUCUGCUUGAGUUAUCAGGAUGACUGCAGCCCCGGGGCAAACGGCGAGCCGGCAGCGCAGAGAGCUUCUCCUUUGUGUCUGUGUGGGAAUGUAGGUCUCUCAGGGCCGGUCGGUCGGGUCAGAGCAGGCUUACGGCUGUAAUCUCCCCAGCAGACGUCCAUAUCAGGAGCGGCAGGAGGAGGUGUGACGCUCGUCUAGACGGGCCGCAGACGCUUCCCCUCCCCCAGAGACCUGCUGUUCCUGGCACACAACGGACCACGGGGCAUUCACAUUAUACUGAGGGAAUUUUCUCUCACAGAAACUCAUUCACAUUGUGUAUGAAGCCUCAUGGAAUAUUAAAAUGUGACAGCUGGGGGAAAACAAAAUGUGAAUCUGAAACUCAAAAACAAUGUGGGUCAUUAGUUGUGAGAUUUUCUGCCCAAAUAAACCAC